AUGAAAUGUUUUCCAUAUGUGUUGAUUGUAUUAGUAAUAGUAGUAUGUUGUGAUGCAAAGUGCAGCCCUUCUUCAUGUGGCAUCCUCAGCAACAUUAGCUGCUGUGACCUGCGAAAACAAUGUGGCCUACAUCUCUUCCAACUCUAACUACUAUGUCAAAACAAUCGACCACGAAAACUCCACCAUCAGGCUCGUUGAUGCGUCCAUUGUUAACGAUGAAAUCUGCUCAUUCCCUGUUGUUUCUCCAAAUGCCUUUAGCAUCUUCAAUACCCAUGAUCCUCUUCCUUACCGAGUUUCGACACCAAUAAACCCUAUUAAUUUUUUGCAGGUCUGUUAUGUGCAGUGGUAAGCCCUCCGGUAUUCACCAUCUUUGGAUUCGCAGCUGUAUCAUUGCUCUUCUGUUAUACACCAUCUAUCUUUUUCACCGUGAUUCAACUUGCAGCGGUGAAAGUCGGAUCAGGGUCUUAUACCUAUCUACUGCCUGGUGCACUCGAUUUUUAUGCGGCCAGAUUACAGACUUAUCUACUGCCGGGUGCGCUCUCAUUUUACUUUUGUGACUAAAUGAUAAUAACAACUGUAUUCAUAGCAAAGAUUUCAGUUUCUUCCAUGUUUCUCAGCCUUUAUCUUAAGCACCAUCAUCUAUGCAUCAAGGGUCUUCACCUUCCCGUUGGUGGUGCGUCUUUUGAUUUACAAAUUCCGCACAAGGCGUCUCUCCUUACAUGAAGAUAUAGAAUCAUUUCUACAAAGUGACAACAAACUCUCCCCAAUUAGGUACUCUUAUUCGGGCCUCAAAAAAAUGACCAAAAGUUUUCGAAAUAAACUAGGUCAAGGAGGUUACGGUUCAGUUUACAAAGGCAAGCUCCGAAGCGGACAUGAUGUUGCAGUCAAACUCUUGGGGAAAUCGGGAGGAAAAGGGCUGGACUUCAUGAAUGAAAUCGCAACUAUUGGAAGGAUACACCAUGUCAAUGUUAUCAAAUUAGCCGGAUAUUGUGCGCAUGGCUCCAAACUAGCCCUUGUCUUCGAUUUCAUGACUAAUGGAUCUCUUUAAAAGUA